rnacentral:rRNA from 1 species
AGUGAACGCUGGCGGUAGGCCUAACACAUGCAGGUCGAACGGCAGCACAGUAAGAGCUUGCUCUUACGGGUGGCGAGUGGCGGACGGGUGAGGAAUACAUCGGAAUCUACUUUUUCGUGGGGGAUAACGUAGGGAAACUUACGCUAAUACCGCAUACGACCUACGGGUGAAAGCAGGGGAUCUUCGGACCUUGCGCGAUUGAAUGAGCCGAUGUCGGAUUAGCUAGUUGGCGGGGUAAAGGCCCACCAAGGCGACGAUCCGUAGCUGGUCUGAGAGGAUGAUCAGCCACACUGGAACUGAGACACGGUCCAGACUCCUACGGGAGGCAGCAGUGGGGAAUAUUGGACAAUGGGCGCAAGCCUGAUCCAGCCAUACCGCGUGGGUGAAGAAGGCCUUCGGGUUGUAAAGCCCUUUUGUUGGGAAAGAAAAGCAGCGGGUUAAUACCCCGCUGUUCUGACGGUACCCAAAGAAUAAGCACCGGCUAACUUCGUG